rnacentral:rRNA from 1 species
UACGUAGGGGGCAAGCGUUGUCCGGAUUUAUUGGGCGUAAAGAGCGUGUAGGCGGUCAGGUAGGUCCGUUGUGAAAACUCGAGGCUCAACCUCGAGACGCCGAUGGAAACCAUCUGACUAGAGUCCGGAAGAGGAGAGUGGAAUUCCUGGUGUAGCGGUGAAAUGCGCAGAUAUCGGGAAGAACACCCGUGGCGAAGGCGGCUCACUGGCCCGGUACUGACGCUGAUGUGCGAAAGCGUGGGGAGCAAACAGG